CGGCCGCGUCGACGCCAAAGGAUUGGCCCGCGUUGGAUUAGGUAGUUGGUGGGUAAGUGGCUACCAAGCCGACCAUCCAUAGCUGGUUUGUAGAGGAUGAUCAGCCACACUGGGACUGAGACACGGCCCAGACUCCUACGGGAGGCAGCAGUGGGGAAUCUUAGACAAUGGGGGAAACCCUGAUCUAGCCAUGCCGCGUGAUCGAUGAAGGCCUUAGGGUUGUAAAGAUCUUUCAGUGGGGAAGAUAAUGACGGUACCCACAGAAGAAGCCCCGGCUAACUCCGUGCCAGCAGCCGCGGUAAUACGGAGGCGCGAGCGUUGUCCGGAAUUAUUGGGCGUAAAGAGCUC
rnacentral:rRNA from 1 species